AAUGGCAAAGUUGAAAAUAUAGUGUAAGUAAUGGUCUGGAAUGUCAAAUCAAGCUGAGUACAAGGGAAGUUACUGAAAUCAAGGCUUUUCUUCUUCGAACGGUUCUGCCCACAAAACCCCUAAAAUCUGGCGCCAAAUAAUUCAAAGCAUUUUGUACAGGAACAUUCCUUCUUCACAUACUCCAUUUCAUGUGUAUUAUAGUAAAUAAAGAUGACCGACCCGCCGAUUCGCAUCCGGACUCCAAGGUUUUGAGUGUGCGAAUCGUCUCCAUCGAUUACGACAUGGCACCGCUGAUUUCUGGCUACGAUAUUUGCUAUAGUAGCUUUCAAGGAUUCCGGGUGAAAAGAGUGGACUUCCUGCUGGAUAUCCAAGCGGAACCCGGAGAUAAGUUGUUGAUCAUGGAUGAUUCAGGAAUGCUUGAAGCUUUGUUCGCCAAUUCCUCAAAUUGAUGCUGGUAUUCAGCAACCGAGCCUCCUUGGGAUAGCUUUGUUAACUGGCUCUGAUAAUCCAUAAACUCUGAUGGACAGAAAAGAACACCAGGUGCGUAAUUGACCAUUGGUGUGUAUCCAACGAUACCAAGACAAGGUUGGACCAUCCAUAUGAAAUGAGAAAAUGGUUAAACGUAGCUUCAUGGGGCGUCUCAUGAUAAUCAAAAAAUUGUUACGUCUUAUAUUGUUAACCUUCUUGUGCCAUCAAACCGAGGCACCUCUGUCUGAACGGACUCUUAGCAGCAUCACUGCUCCAGUGUCGUCACCCCAUCUCUGACAGGCAACUUGUUGUCACCAGCUGUCGUUGAUCCUUGACCCACCAAAAGGCAUCCCCUCAUCGGUGUUGCUGUUGAAAUUGAACAUGUAGAAUGGAAACUUGUUUAUUAACUUUUACCAAGUUUAUACAGCAUUAGAAUAUAAAUCCUAUUUCUCUAAAA